rnacentral:lncRNA from 1 species
AACCCCGUAGGUCCAGAAUUUCAGCAUUUUCCAGACUUAGCCAAAUUUCAGCCUUUUUCAGCUUUUUCGUCCGUUUUCGCUCGUUUUUGCUCGUUCGGCCUCCGAUUCAUUUCAAAUUGAACCGAGACUCUCUAAACAUGUUUUCGAGUAUGAUUUCAUCAUCUUUUCAUCCACGCUAAUGCCGGAUUUAGUUCUCGAUCCGACAUAGCCUUUCAGAUUCCGUUUUCGCGCCUACGCAAACUGAAACACCCGAAUGCUCCCGAACUUCUCUGGAACUUCACCGGAACCAUUCAAAUGGCUCUCCAAACCAAUAUACACCGUAACUUCAUA